rnacentral:ncRNA from 1 species
UGGGGUGAUGAACUGAUGAAAAGGGAAUCGGGUGAAAAUCCCGAGCAGAGCCGCUGCUGUAAGCUUCGAAAAGAGCUUGCGCUGCACCGAUUACGAGGUCACUAUGGACAUGAUGCCGUGGGAAGGCCGCAGCGCUAAGUGAAGCAAGCCAGAAUACCUGCCUGAAAAGAA